rnacentral:pre_miRNA from 1 species
AAUGUGAUUGCUUGAUCCUAUGGUAAGACUAUGUUUAGCUUUGUAAAAAUUACCAAAUGGUCUUUCAAAGUGGCUGUACCAUUUUGCAAUCUCAUCAGCAAU